AAUCGUUUUUACAGGUUGUACAUGUUGGCUCGGCUCUGAUUUAGUGUUACCUGCCUGCCUGAUAGCAAGACGACACUUAUCUGAAAGUGAAGUUUACCUCGACACACCCGCUCGGUUUUCACUUGCGUGUGUGUCUGUGUGACCACUAAUGAAAACUUGGGCGAGACGGUUUGUUUGGGCCUCGGAUAAAUAAUUAACCAGACAACUCAAGCCGCAGUUUCAAGAGCUGACAUGAGGAGCUGAAGCAAAGCAAGAGCGGAGUGCGCCUCUAUCGCAAGCCUGUUACCUGAGAGAAAACAACAGGCUCGCAGGUGUUUUUUUUUUUUUUGUUUUGGUUUUUUUUUAUAUAUUUGUUUUUUGUAUUUUUCCUUAUAUUUUUAAUGUCAUUUGAACUGGAUACACUUCAUUGUAAUCAUGCUGGGAGCGGAGAGCAGAUUGGAAAGCCGGCUGAAGAAGCUGGAGUCCCUGAUAAGGAAUCCACAGUCGGCACUAAACUUGGCAACCCUGCUGGAUUCCAUGAAUGCGCUGGUCAAUGACUUGAAUUACCCGCCCUUACGGAAAAACAAAAACAUAGAGUCCUUUCUGAACAGAUAUAAAGACUUAGUGAGUGAGCUGCGAGAACUUCAGAUGAAGCUUGAUGACUUUGAGAAAGUCAAGCUGAUCGGAAAAGGAGCUUAUGGAGAAGUGCAGCUGGUCCGUCACAAGGCCUCUAAGAAGGUUUAUGCCAUGAAGCAGCUCAGCAAGUUUGAGAUGAUCAAAAGGUCAGAUUCGGCCUUCUUCUGGGAGGAGAGACACAUUAUGGCCUUCUCCAACAGCCCCUGGGUGGUCCAGCUAUGCUGUGCUUUCCAAGAUGAUCGGCACCUUUACAUGGUGAUGGAAUUCAUGCCCGGAGGAGACCUGGUCACACUCACCAUGAACUACGACAUCCCUGAGGAAUGGGCUCGCUUCUACACGGCAGAAGUAGUGCUGGGGCUAGACGCCAUCCACUUGAUGGGCUUCAUCCACCGUGACAUUAAGCCUGACAACAUGCUGCUGGACCAACACGGACACCUCAAACUGGCUGAUUUUGGCACAUGCAUGAAGAUGGACUCGACAGGUAUGGUGAAAUGUGACACAGCCGUAGGCACACCAGACUACAUCUCUCCCGAGGUUCUCCAGUCUCAGGGUGGUGAUGGCUACUAUGGCCGGGAGUGUGACUGGUGGUCUGUAGGAGUAGUUCUCUAUGAAUUGCUAGUUGGUGAAACUCCUUUCUAUGCCGAGUCCCUUAUUGGAACGUACGGAAAGAUUAUGAACCACCAGAACUCGCUCGUAUUCCCAGAUGAUGUAGAGAUGUCUCAAAAUGCCAAAGAUCUCAUCUGUGCCUUCCUUACUGACAGGAAGGUUCGUCUGGGCCGCACCGGAGUGGACGAGAUAAAAUGUCACCCCUUCUUUAAGAACAACCAGUGGACCUUUGACAACAUCCGUGACACUGUGGCCCCAGUUGUGCCAGAGCUGAAAGGUGACUUAGACACCAGUAACUUUGAUGACAUAGAGGUUGAGAAAGGAGAUGUUGAGACCUUUCCUCCACCCAAAGCCUUUGUUGGCAACCAGCUACCAUUUAUUGGUUUCACCUACUUCAAGGAGGAUCAGCUGCUAAAGGGAAGUAAAAGCAGUUCUGCAAAAGAUUCAGAGGACUGUGAGGAAAUCUCAGAGGACAAGGACAAUUGUUCAGACAAUAAGAAAGAGCUGCAGAAAAAGAUUUCCCAACUGGAAGAGAAGCUCGACAAUGAGAUGCAGGCCAAAGAUGAGCUGGAGCAAAAGUGCAGAAAUGCUACCAACCGUUUAGACAAACUCGUCAAAGAAUUAGACAAGGAGAUGAACAGCAGGCAGAAAGUCGAGGCCUCACUGAGGCAGCUGGAGAGAGAGAGAGCUCUGCUGCAGCACCAGAGUGCUGAGAAUCUGCGCAAGGUGGAGAUCGAAACUGACAGGAAACGCAGCCUGGAGAACGAACUGAACAAGCUGAGGGACCAGCUAGAGGAUCUGAGGAAGAAGAACCAGAAUUCGCACAUCUCAAAUGAGAAGAACAUCCAGCUGCAAAAACAACUUGAGGACGUCAAUGCUGUGCUUCAGGCUGAGCAAGAGGCUGUAGCGCGGUUAAAGAAGAGUCAGGCGGAGGUGCAGAAACAAGCCCAGAGCCUGGAGGUUAGCCUCGGGGAGAUGCAGGAAAAGUGCAGCCAGCUUGAAAACAGCAAGAUGGAGCUGGAGAAGCAGCUGAGGGGGCUGCAGGCCGAGCUGGAGGAGGAGAGGAGAGGCCGCAACAUGGGGACAGAAACUAUUAAUGACCUACAGGGAUGCAUCUCAGGGCUGGAAGAAGAGGUGAAAGAAGCGAAGUCAUCUCUCUCCAAGGUCCAGACUGAAAAAAAGGAGCUACAGGAGAAGCUCAAUGAGCUUGAGAAGAAAAAGAGCAACCAAGAGAUCGACCUUACGUUCAAGCUGAAGUCCCUCCAGCAGAGUCUGGAGCAGGAGGAGGCAGAGCACAAGGCCACUAAAGCCAAGCUUGCUGAUAAAAAGAAGACCGACCAAUCCAUAGAGGAGGCAAAGUCCGAGGCUUUAAAAGAGAUGGAGUGCACCCUGCAGGAGGAGCGCAGCUUGAAGAUGCAGGUGGAGGGAAAGCUGCUGCAGCUAAAAAAAGACUACUCCAUGCUGGACUGUGAUUACAAGCAGGCGCAGAACAAGCUGGAUGAAUUUAAGACACAGAAGGAGAAACUUUCUGAAGAGGUGUUGCACCUGACCUCACGUCUGGAGGAGGAGAUGCACAAGCGGAGUAUGAGCCAGAGUGAACUGAAGAUGCAGAACCAGCAGGUGUCUGUGCUCCAGUCCUCUGAGAAACAGCUCAAACAGGAACUCAACCAGCUGUUAGACAUGAAGCAGAUGCUGGAGAAACAGAACCAGGAACUACGCAGGGAAAAGCAGGAGGCUGAUGGCCAGCUGAAGGAGCUGAAGGACCAACUGGAGGCACAGCACUGUUUCACAACCCUUUACAAGACGCAGAUCCGUGAGCUGACGGAUGAGCGUGAUGAGAAGAAUAAGCUGUACGAAGAGGUGCAGCAGCAACUGGCAGAAUACCAGGAAGAGAGGAAGUCACUGACAACCCGGCUGGAAGAAAGCUUGACCAAAGCAGACACUGAGAAGUUGGCUCGUUCCGUCGUUGAGGAGCAGUUCUCCAAUCUGGAGAAAGAAAAGAUCAUGAAGGAGCUAGAGAUCAGCGACAUGAUGAUGAGGCACAAGCAGGAGCUCAGCGAUAAGGAGGCCACCAUCAGCUCGCUGGAAGAGUCCAAUCGUACUCUGACGGUGGACGUAGCCAACCUGGCCAGUGAGAAGGAAGAACUCAACAACCAGCUGAAAGAAAUGCAACAAAACCUCCAGAAAGCAAAAGAUGAAGAGAACUCUCUCAAAGAGUCCUUUGAAAAGCUGCUGCAGAACGAAAGAACGCUAAAAAUUCAGGCUGUGAACAAACUGGCUGAGGUGAUGAACAGGAGGGAGAAGGUGCGGGGAGGCCACCAAGGCAACGACACCGAGGUGCACAAGAAGGAGAAGGAGAACAGGAAACUGCAGCUGGAGCUGAAAGCAGAGAAGCAGAAAUUCAGCACCGCCAUCGUAAAAUACCAGAACCAGCUGGCUGAAAUGGAGGCGCUGAUGGCAGAAGAGAACCAGAUGCGUCUAGAUCUUCAGAUGACGCUGGACAGUAAAGAGAGCGACAUCGAGCAGCUGCGAUCCCAGCUCACAUCCCUCAGCAUUCACUCUCUGGACACCACAAGCAUCAGCAGUGCCAACGACUUAGACUUAGAAGGAUACCCAGACUCCUGGCUGGAGGGCUGGAUCUCACUUCCUUCCAAGAACACCAAGCGAUUUGGUUGGGACAAAAAAUAUGUGGUCGUGAGCAGUAAGAAGAUCCUGUUCUAUAACAGCGAGGUGGAUCGAGAGCAAGCUAACCCUUUCAUGACCCUGGACCUUGAUAAGCUGUUUCAUGUCCGACCUGUAACUCAGACUGAUGUGUACCGUGCAGAUGUCAAAGAAAUUCCAAGGAUUUUCCAGAUCCUAUAUGACAAUGAAGGUGAGAGCAAGCGUGAGCAGGAUCCUGCAGCUGAACCCACGAACUCUGGUGAUCGCGCCUCAUACAUCAGCCACAAGGGCCAUGAGUUCAUCGUCACCCUCUACCAUUUCCCAUGUAACUGUGAGGUCUGCAGCCGGCCUUUGUGGAACGUCUUCAAGCCUCCACCAGCGCUCGAAUGUCGUCGCUGCCACACCAAGUUCCAUAAAGACCACCUGGAUAAAAAAGAAGUUAUUAUACCCUGCAAAGUGAACUAUGACAUCUCCACGGCCAAAGAACUGCUCCUCCUGACCAGCUCUCAGACGGAGCAGAAGCACUGGGUCAGUCACCUCCUUAAGCGCAUCCCGAAACACCCGACACUGAGUCCUCCCCCUGUGGCACGCAAUUCCCCUGAAAAAGCACUCCAUUCCUCUCCACAAGUUUCCCCACGACCUUCGCCCAAGAGCUCUCCUCGCAUGUCCCAUCGGGGCGCUGUAAAAAUCCAAUCCACCCGGCAGCAACCAUCAUCAGGGAAGCCAAGCACUGGCCCCAUGCUCCGUAUCAUCCUCCACUGACACCCGAUCUCUUCACCUCUGACCCCAACAUUUCUAACGUCUCUCAUGCUGGGAGACUUUAACCCUGGGUAAUAUUUUCAUCCGUGUGGAGUAAUGGUGGUCUGGAAGCGGUGCCUACGUGUGUUAUGUUUUUUCAGAGAAGACUGUCAAAAAAAACAAAAACACAAAAAAAUCCCACAAAACACUAAUAUGGACAGAAAACUGGCUGGCGUCAUGAGAAAAAGGAUUUUUUUUUUUGUCAUUUUAACAAAAGGAGAAUCAGCACAGUCUUCCCAUUUCAGUGAUUCAUCCGAUGAAAAAGCAUGUGACAAUCUUCACGAUUAAACUGCCCUAUUUUCUUUUUAGUCAUCAUAAUUAUGACAAGACUAUUUUCUUUUUCUCUUUGCGUUUGUAAAAAGAUUACGCAUGUGUUUGAACAUUUGUAUAUACGAUAAAUAUCUAUAUCUGUGUAUCGUAGCACAUAACGUGGAGCUAAUAGUAUAUAUAAUUGUUUUGUUUCUAUGACCACAUCACACAGUGAAUAUGGUUGUCCUGUAAAUGUAUUAAAACGGUUUUAUGGCUUCUUUUUGAGUGGAAAAUGAGCCUUUAUAAGUACAUCUGUUAUAACAUACGGCAGAACAAUGUGAACUCGACUGAAACAAUGUUGUUUUUUUCUUGCGCUUCGUGACAAUUAUUGAUUGUUCAUAUAUGUUUAAAAUCCCAUGUGUAGAAUUUUUGGGGUGAUACAUUAAAAAAAACGUAAAAAAAAUCAAGACUUAAGCAUUUCAAUUAGUGGCUCUGGUGAUGGUAUUUGUGUGUUGUGCAUGCCUAUUAUUUAAAAGUUUUCAAAAUUUGUGGCAUUGGUGAUGUACAGCUGCUGCCUGAUCGAGUCUAAAAGGAAAUAAUUUAUAUCGAUUAACGUGGUGUGUGGAAUCAAACCAUAUCUAGCAUGUGACUGUUUUUGAGUUGUUAGUGUUAAUAUUAAUGAAAAAGCAGUUUAUUCUGUAAUAUAUUGGUAAACAACAAAACUGUACCAAAUAAUUAUGUUAUUCUACAGCCAUCAGUGUAUUUAAAGUGACCAUUUGUAUUGAACCAGAAUAGGUCCGGCUUUGUCUCGCUUCUACAGUAUGUGGUGGUGAGCAGUAAAAAGCUCCUGUUCUAUAACACUGAGCUGGAUCGAGAGAAAGCGAACCUUUUCAUGACCCCUGACAUUGA